ensembl:lncRNA
GUUCCAUGCUGCCUCUGUUAAUCUGUAGCAAAGACAAAAUUAUUUUUGUUGCAAUGCAUCAGGUGACACAGUAAAUAUGAUGUUUCAGGCUCAAUACUUUUAGUUCCUGCAGAAGUGUUCCUUGCAAUUUAUAGCAACAAAUCCGAUUCUGUAGAAUCCUAUUAUUUCAUAUAUAGAAUUCAGCAUAACUUCUCCCUCCUUUACCCUUUAUUGGGUGGAAAGACGAGUCUAUUUUCUCUAGAGAUUUUUUUUUUUUUUGACACAGCAGUUUUGCAACUAAAAUUGCAACUUGAUAUACCUCUUUUCCUAUCUCUUUUUUUAUGGGACUCAUCAUAUGCAGGGCUCUAUGAAGAGAAAAAGAAGAGCAUUGUCCUUAUCACCUCCUUCCAGAAAGUGGCAGAGUAAUAGGACUUUGUAAGGCGAAAUGAAGCCCAGUCUGAUGGCUGCUGAUUAAAAAUUGACUCUGCCACAUCAAAGAAGAGUUGAAGGUGAAAAUGAUGAUCACUUCCCUCUCCCAGGGACCCUGCACCAUUUCUUUUAUUCAACCUUGAAAGGUUCUUUCUGAAUAAGAUAAUAUCCCUCGAGUCCAUUCUGGCUAGGCGGCAUGGGAAAAUGUAGAUCAGUAUGCCUAUUCUCUAUGAAAAAAUGGGAUUUUGUUAAUGACAUAGCACUCUAAAGUGAUGGCUUGUAUGUGGUAAAUGCUGAGAAAUUAAUUAUAAAAUGCCUCUUAGACUACAGAUCAAAUUAAUUGCUAGUAUACAUAUACUAAAAAGACCACUGUAAACCCAAACUGCAUUUCUUGCUUCUUUGCUGUAGAUUUCUGUACUUGAAAUCUCUUCUGUAAUUUCUGUACUGUAGCUUGUGCUGUCCUUUCUGUUUUCAGUUUAUAUAUAUAUAUACAUAUAUAUUUAGUUGAGGGGCCGUCUGUGAAAUAAUAUCAUUGAAAUAUAAAAUGUUAUGAUUGACUGGACUAAAGCAUGUGAAUAUCUAUUUUGUGAUAGAUACAUACACACAGAGAAAAGAGACAUUCAGUUAUUCAGGUAUGUGAACUACGCAGAGACUCUGUAGACAGGGGGAAAAAAGAGUUUGUAUAUAGAUAUAUAAAUACUCAGGAAGAAACACAGCUGUGAUUCAGUGCAUUAUAGUAUAUUUCACUGGUUACCAUGUGUGGCAGGCAGAGAUAGAAAAUUUACAUAGAAGCUUGAGAAAUCCUCCUCUCUGUUUUAGAUUUUGGUUUUAUACCUCAUAACAGAAAUUCUGAAGUGCAUAGCAAACAUUUUAAUUCAGGGUGCCAUUUACUCAUCCACAUACUUAAAUAGACCAACAGGCAAUGUGCUCAAUAUACAGCAGAGAAUCUCAAAACAUAUAGCUUGAUUAACAAUAGCAAGAAAAGUCUUACAUGAAAAAAAACAUGUUCAAAGAAAUUAUUUUACACACAUGCCUUCCCCUCCUGCCACCCCCAACACACACACUUUCCAUGGAUCCUAUGCUGGUAAGGAUCUUGAGCAGUCCUAGGAAAUGACUGGAAGCAAUGAUUAAAUUUGAAAAUCGCAUGUUAGAACCUCAAUAAAGGUAGAAUAGCCUAGUCCA